ACAAUGUUUAUUUUCUUCUCCCUAUCUUACCCUACCUCCAUGUGAAGCAGAGUACCCAUUUCUCUUGCAAAUUUGACCGAAUCUGAUCCUCCCACUCCACCAGCCAUGCUCUCUUCUCUGGUGGGCCACACUUCGGCCAUGCAGUGACAAGGAGAUGCAAGAGACUCAAUCUUUUCCUUCUUGCAUUCUUGUUGUUACCUUGGAAGAGCUUGGUUGGUUAGAGGCUGGAGAGAAAGCUCAAGGCUGGAGUUGGCUUAAUCUCUAUAGCUAAACUGGGUUUCUCAAGAAGGACUGUCUUAGCUUUUGGGAGUGAGUUGGAGUGGAACUAUUCCAAGUCAUCAAGUUGUUGAGUAUCUCUUUCAAAUCAGGAGUAAGGUCUUACAAGAGUCAGCUUAGCCAGAUUGUCGAGUAGUGCGAAUUCCUUUUGGGUGGUGGGUGUUUUUAGCACUUGUUGUUGUUGUUGUUGUUAUUGUUGUUUGUUUGUUUAUGCAUUAAACCCCUAGCUUGUAUCAAACCUUAAACUCCUAGUUAUUAUGACUUUGUGGUUUAGCUAUUUGUAUAUUUUGUAUAUUAUGUUUUCUACUCUGUUUAAGUUGUGAGGCUUUGUAUGGCCACUAAAUCUCAACUAUGUGGGUGUGGGGCCCUUUGUCCA